GACGAACGCUGGCGGCGUGCUUAACACAUGCAAGUCGAACGGAAAGGCCCUGCUUUUGUGGGGUGCUCGAGUGGCGAACGGGUGAGUAACACGCGAGUAACCUCCCCUUGACUGUGGGAUAACUUCAGGAAACUCGGGCUAAUACCGCACAUGAGCUUCUGCUGCACGGUGGGGGUUGGAAAGAUUCGGCGGUUGGGGAUGGACUCGCGGCUUAGCAGCUUGUUGGUGGGGUAGUGGCUUACCAAGGCUUUGACGGGUAGCCGGCCUGAGAGGGUGACCGGCCACAUUGGGCCUGAGGAACGGGCCAUACUGCUACGGGAGGCAGCAGUGGGAGAUAGUGCACGAUAGGCGGAAGCAUGGUGGAAGGACGCCGGGUGCGGGAUGACGGCCUUCGGGGUGGAACCCGCUUUCGCGUGUGACGUAGCCUGAGUGACGGUAAUGUGUCAAAAAGCACCGGCUAACUACGUG
rnacentral:rRNA from 1 species